rnacentral:rRNA from 1 species
GCAGUCGAGCGGUAGAGAGUAGCUUGCUACUUUUGAGAGCGGCGGACGGGUGAGUAAUGCCUAGGAAUCUGCCUAGUGGUGGGGGAUAACGUUCGGAAACGGACGCUAAUACCGCAUACGUCCUACGGGAGAAAGCGGGGGACCUUCGGGCCUCGCGCCAUUAGAUGAGCCUAGGUCGGAUUAGCUAGUUGGUGAGGUAAUGGCUCACCAAGGCUACGAUCCGUAACUGGUCUGAGAGGAUGAUCAGUCACACUGGAACUGAGACACGGUCCAGACUCCUACGGGAGGCAGCAGUGGGGAAUAUUGGACAAUGGGCGAAAGCCUGAUCCAGCCAUGCCGCGUGUGUGAAGAAGGUCUUCGGAUUGUAAAGCACUUUAAGUUGGGAGGAAGGGUAGUAACUUAAUACGUUGCUACUUUGACGUUACCGACAGAAUAAGCACCGGCUAACUUCGUGCCAGCAGCCGCGGUAAUACGAAGGGUGCAAGCGUUAAUCGGAAUUACUGGGCGUAAAGCGCGCGUAGGUGGUUCAGUAAGUUGGAUGUGAAAGCCCCGGGCUCAACCUGGGAACUGCAUCCAAAACUGCUGAGCUAGAGUACGGUAGAGGGUGGUGGAAUUUCCUGUGUAGCGGUGAAAUGCGUAGAUAUAGGAAGGAACACCAGUGGCGAAGGCGACCACCUGGACUGAUACUGACACU